rnacentral:rRNA from 1 species
AUGAAGCUGGAAUCGCUAGUAAUCGCGGAUCAGAAUGCCGCGGUGAAUACGUUCCCGGGUCUUGUACACACCGCCCGUCACACCAUGGGAGGUCGGAAAUGCCCGAAGUCUGUGACCCAACCUUAGGGAGGGAGCAGCCGAAGGCAGGUCGGAUGACUGGGGUGAAGUCGUAACAAGGUAUC